rnacentral:lncRNA from 1 species
ACACAACCAGGGAAACCCCACAGCAGGGCCAGCCACAGGAAUGAAAAUCACACCCCGUGUAGGUGACAUGGCAGGAUGAAGGCUGCUGUCACGGGGAGCUAAGAAGAACAAAUUCAGAGACAAACCUGUGUUCCCACCUAUGACAAGGGACAAGGCGCGAUGUCAAUCAGUGUCCUCAUCAAAGAUGAAGUGGGCUCUGCUGGCCUCUGGGAGCCAGUGUGAGGGAGCUGACACUCAGGUCACCAGAGCGGCCCCACCUCCUCAGGCCUUUGCUCCCUACAGGAUUGUGGAGCCUCAGAGGCCCGCGGAAACCCUGCCAUUCAGGGACAGGGCAGCUGUGGCCUUUGGUCCCCCUGCUGUCUCCUCCCAGGGGCAACAUGCACUCCCUUCUUCCCAUCCUGACUUGUGACAUCACGGGUAGGGACAGACCCGGGCAGCAGGGACAGCCGGCAGCACCUACCUGAUAACACAGUGGCCUUGGUUGGAGGCAAAAACCACGAUGGGGGCGAUGGAAGAUUCCAGAGCUCGGUGCAGGGAGGUGAAGCCCUCGAUGGCCAGC